rnacentral:lncRNA from 1 species
UCAUUGUCCGCCACGAUUACGAAUUCUGGAUUCUAUCAAAUCUGUGAGGAUUGGAUGUUUCCAUGCGUGCAAAUCAUGAUGCAGGCGGAUGGCAUGUAUCUAAUUCUCAGCAUGUAGACACUUGGAGUGCUUAGCAAUUGAUGUGAGAUGUCUCAGCUCCUGCACCUCAAUUCCCUUUGGGUUGUUUGUCCAUGAGGUACAGCUAUACAUCUGUCACGCCCCGAACCCAGCAACCGGGUUCGGUACGCGACCGACCGCAUGGGCUCUAGAGCAGUGCCCUAAAGAUCAUGCAAGGCCUAUGAUUAACAAAAAUUCCAAUAAAUCCACAAUUAAUCUAGUAAUUCAAAUAGAGCAGUCCGACAUGUCCAAAUAAACAAAUUAGUUCAAUUACAAGAUCUUCAAA